GCCUGGAGGAGGAGGACCUUGAAGAGUAAGAAGAUGCAGAUGUCUACUCCUUCAGCACCUGACUUGACCUGAGUGAGCCAACUUAAGCAAGACUUCUUAAUCUUAUAAAGUAUAGCAGGAAUGAUAAACACACAAAAUCUCCCAAAUCCCAAUGAUAAUCACGGAUGUAAGACCUCUAUGGGUGUUGGUCUGACAGGUCUCUUUGAAGUCACAGAGAUCUGUCCCCAGAAUUUGGGUCUACGUCUCUUAUAAGGGAUUGAUAUGCCGACUGUACAGAAAGAAAUAUCCAGGCAAACUUAUAACGAAGAGAAGAAAACCUAGCAGUGCCUCUUAAGUCUCGCUUUGUGUUGGUACGCGUGUAGGUGAAAGCCAGGGGCGGAAUUCCGCAGCUUUUCCCGCUUUCCGGGCGCCAGCCCCAGCCCUCUAGCGGUGCGAGCGGGCGGAGCCGGCCCGGGAGCGCUCCCAAGUCACCGGAGCAGCUGAUGGAGCGCGGCAGGAGCCUGCCAGGAGCAGGCACACAAGGCAAACAGCUCCGGACUCGAUCGCAGGCUGCUGGCGGCUACAGAUGGAGGGAGAUACCUUUUCCAGAGCAGCCUUCUCCUCUUCUCCUUCAGCGCUCGGCGCGUCCUGGUCUGGCGGCCGCGGCGCAUCCUCUGCCCCCGGCUCAGCCUUUCCUUCCAAACCCAGCCGUGCCGCAGCCGCCCGGCUCUUCCCCUCCGGAGGGCACUCAGCUGGAGAGGGUGGGAUGGGAGCUGCUGCUCCAGAGGUCCCUGGUCCUCGCUGAGCCAUGGCUUGCACAAGACCUACAGCCUCUAAGAGACACACACGGGAUGCUGAGGGGCCUCCUUGGCAAGCAGAGAAAGGAAAAGGGAAAAAUAUGGGGUUCGUAACCUGAAGUGGGCCAUUUGGCUUCUCCCAAACCUCUAUGACUUCUGGAGGAAUUCUGUCAAUUUUUGGAAUUCUGUAAAUUCUGUAAAUUUUGUAAAUUCCAACCUUUUCCCACUGGAUAUCUUUUUCCCCUUAAUUAGCAACACCUGUGACCUUCUCCUAGUAUCUUAUUGUAACCAUUUAAAGGCAUGACUUUUUUUCUAAAUAUGUUCAUUGAAGGAGUGGUGCAAAAAAUGUGAGAACAU